UUUGGUUUUGUGAUGAGGAGUAAGAAAAACAACCUGAAUGCUGAAGAUCCCCACCCAUAAAUGAAAGUCAUUAGCUGUAUCUGGAAACCUACUAUCCACCUACCAAAAACCUAGUGAACAACUCAAUACCUCCGUGAUGUGUGCAGUUCUUUAAACAAACAGCCUAUCAUCCUGGAGAGUACAUUUUCACUUGGCUUCUUUAACAGACAGUCAGAGAAGAAAAAAUAAUAUGAAGAACUCCACAGCUCUUCUACAUGAGGCAAGGGUUUUCCAUCUAUACUGUAGUGUUUGGCCCCCAAAUCACUUUUUACACUCCACAGUGCGUGUCUGCAUAGCAAGGAAGGAAAGGGAGUUGGAACGACAUGAGGCCACAUGAGAAAUGGAAUUGCUUCUCUUGGCAUCAGGUGCUAGUCAAUCUAAGAAACUACUCCCUGGGACACACCAACAGUUCUUUAUUGACUUCAAGCGAUCUUACUGCUGGAACAGCCAAAGGCGCAAUGGAUGUUCUUAACAUCUUGACACCAAGGGCCCAGCCCUGGAGCUGCCAACAGGAGCUGCCUAUUGAACUGUUGGGGCACCCUGAUUCUCCUUCCCCACAAGAGCCACCGGGGGGACCCUAUAAUAU
rnacentral:lncRNA from 1 species